AGUCGAGCGGAGCUAUUGAUGAAGCUUGCGAUUCAAUAGUCGAGCGGCGGACAGGUGAGUAACGCGUGGGCAAUCUGCCCUCUAGCCUGGGAUAACAGUUCGAAAGGACUGCUAACACCGGAUAUGCUCACGGCCUGGCAUCAGGCAGUGAGGAAAGUUUACACUAGAGGAUGAGCCCGCGUCCCAUUAGCUAGUUGGUGAGGUAACGGCCCACCAAGGCGGCGAUGGGUAGCCGACCUGAGAGGGUGAACGGCCACACUGGGACUGAGACACGGCCCAGACUCCUACGGGAGGCAGCAGUAGGGAAUUUUCCGCAAUGGACGAAAGUCUGACGGAGCAACGCCGCGUGAGGGAUGAAGGUUUUCGGAUCGUAAACCUCUGUCUUCGGGGACGAUAAUGACGGUACCCGAGGAGGAAGCCACGGCUAACUACGUGCCAGCAGCCGCGGUAAUACGUAGGUGGCAAGCGUUGUCCGGAAUUACUGGGCGUAAAGGGCGUGUAGGCGGCCUUUUAAGUCAGACGUGAAAUCUCCAGGCUUAACCUGGAAACUGCGUUUGAAACUGGAGGGCUUGAGGACCGGAGAGGGUAGUGGAAUUCCCAGUGUAGCGGUGAAAUGCGUAGAUAUUGGGAGGAACACCAGUGGCGAAGGCGACUGCCUGGACGGCACCUGACGCUGAGGCGCGAAAGCUAGGGGAGCAAACGGGAUUAGAUACCCCGGUAGUCCUAGCCGUAAACGAUGGGUACUAGGUGUGGGAGGUAUCGACCCCUUCCGUGCCGCAGUUAACACAAUAAGUACCCCGCCUGGGGAGUACGGCCGCAAGGUUGAAACUCAAAGGAAUUGACGGGGGNNNGCACAA
rnacentral:rRNA from 1 species